rnacentral:rRNA from 1 species
CGCAUCUGUGCAUGCAGCAUAUCAAUAAGCGGAGGAAAAGAAACUAACAAGGAUUCCCCUAGUAACGGCGAGUGAAGCGGGAAGAGCUCAAAUUUGAAAUCUUAAAGGGUUUCCCUUUACGAAUUGUAGUUUAAAGAAGUGUUUUCUGUUGAGGUUUUGGUAAAAGUUCUUUGGAAUAGGACAUCAUAGAGGGUGAGAAUCCCGUAUUUGACCUUUACUUUCAACUUUGUGAUACACUUUCAAAGAGUCGGAUUGUUUGGGAAUGCAGUCCAAAAUGGGUGGUAAAUUUCAUCUAAAGCUAAAUAUUGGCGAGAGACCGAUAGCGAACAAGUACCGUGAGGGAAAGAUGAAAAGAACUUUGAAAAGAGAGUUAAACAGUACGUGAAAUUGUCAAAAGGGAAGCGUUUGACACCAGUGUUGUUUUUCUGAAAAUCAAUUAAAGAACUGUUUAUGCUAAGCUGUUUAGACUUUAUCAGCUAACUGUUUAGUUUUGAGCUUUUCUUUAAUGCACUUUUCAGUUAACAAGUCAACAUCAAUUUCUUUUGCUGUAAAAAAGCUUGAGGAAGGUGGCUUGAGAUUCGUCUUAAGUGUUUAUAGCCUCUUGCCUAUGCAGUCGGAGAGAUUGAGGUCUGCAGCGUAGAUCCUUCGGGGCUAAAUGCAUUUGUGCUAAGUUAUAACAUUUCAUAGACAACUUGUUGACUAUGAUUUGUCUUGUAGCUUACUCGCUUAUGUUAUUUUACCUACGCUUAGGAUGUUGACAGCAGUAUAGACUGU